rnacentral:rRNA from 1 species
AACGAACGCUGGCGGCAUGCCUAACACAUGCAAGUCGAACGAUUGCCUUCGGGUGAUGGUGGCGCACGGGUGCGUAACGCGUGGGAAUCCACCCUUAGGUUCGGAAUAACAGCUGGAAACGGCUGCUAAUACCGGAUGAUAUCGCGAGAUCAAAGAUUUAUCGCCUGAGGAUGAGCCCGCGUUGGAUUAGGUAGGGGGUGGGGUAAAGGCCUACCAAGCCGACGAGCCAUAGCUGGUCUGAGAGGAUGAUCAGCCACACUGGGACUGAGACACGGCCCCGACUCCUACGGGAGGCAGCAGUGGGGAAUAUUGGACAAUGGGCGCAAGCCUGAUCCAGCAAUGCCGCGUGAGUGAUGAAGGCCCUAGGGUUGUAAAGCUCUUUUAGCCGGGAAGAUAAUGACUGUACCGGGAGAAUAAGCCCCGGCUAACUCCGUG